AGCCCAGAGCCUGAAUCAGUGUGUGUGUUAGUGGAAGCGUCUGGAAAGGCGCGCGAUACAGGGUGACAGCCCCGUACACAAAAAUGCACAUACUGUGAGCUCGAUGAGUAGGGCGGGACACGUGGUAUCCUGUCUGAAUAUGGGGGGACCAUCCUCCAAGGCUAAAUACUCCUGACUGACCGAUAGUGAACCAGUACCGUGAGGGAAAGGCGAAAAGAACCCCGGCGAGGGGAGUGAAAAAGAACCUGAAACCGUGUACGUACAAGCAGUGGGAGCACGCUUCGGCGUGUGACUGCGUACCUUUUGUAUAAUGGGUCAGCGACUUAUAUUCUGUAGCAAGGUUAACCGAAUAGGGGAGCCGAAGGGAAACCGAGUCUUAACUGGGCGUUAAGUUGCAGGGUAUAGACCCGAAACCCGGUGAUCUAGCCAUGGGCAGGUUGAAGGUUGGGUAACACUAACUGGAGGACCGAACCGACUAAUGUUGAAAAAUUAGCGGAUGACUUGUGGCUGGGGGUGAAAGGCCAAUCAAACCGGGAGAUAGCUGGUUCUCCCCGAAAGCUAUUUAGGUAGCGCCUCGUGAAUUCAUCUCCGGGGGUAGAGCACUGUUUCGGCAAGGGGGUCAUCCCGACUUACCAACCCGAUGCAAACUGCGAAUACCGGAGAAUGUUAUCACGGGAGACACACGGCGGGUGCUAACGUCCGUCGUGAAGAGGGAAACAACCCAGACCGCCAGCUAAGGUCCCAAAGUCAUGGUUAAGUGGGAAACGAUGUGGGAAGGCCCAGACAGCCAGGAUGUUGGCUUAGAAGCAGCCAUCAUUUAAAGAAAGCGUAAUAGCUCACUGGUCGAGUCGGCCUGCGCGGAAGAUGUAACGGGGCUAAACCAUGCACCGAAGCUGCGGCAGCGACACUAUGUGUUGUUGGGUAGGGGAGCGUUCUGUAAGCCUGUGAAGGUGU
rnacentral:rRNA from 1 species